AUUGAACGCUAGCGGCAUGCCUUACACAUGCAAGUCGCGCGAGCGGCGGACGGGUGCGUAAUGUAUGGGGAUCUGCCCGAUGGAGGGGGAUAACUACUGGAAACAGUAGCUAAUACCGCAUACUAUUAGAUCACCCCAUAUGGGAUUAGCUUGUAGGUUGGGUAACGGCUCACCUAGGCCACGAUCCCUAGCUGGUCUGAGAGGACGAUCAGCCACACUGGGACUGAGACACGGCCCAGACUCCUACGGGAGGCAGCAGUGGGGAAUAUUGCACAAUGGGCGAAAGCCUGAUGCAGCCAUGCCGCGUGUAUGAAGAAGGCCUUCGGGUUGUAAAGUACUUUCAGUCGGGAGGCGUUACCGACAGAAGAAGCACCGGCUAACUCCGUGCCAGCCGCCGCGGUAAUAC
rnacentral:rRNA from 1 species